rnacentral:snRNA from 1 species
GUGCCCGCUUCAGCAGCACAUGUACUAAAAUUGGAAAGAUCCAGAGAUUAGCAUGGCGCCUGCGCAAGGAUGACAUGCAAAUUCGUGAAGCGUUCCAUAUAAAA